rnacentral:rRNA from 1 species
UUGCCAGACUCCUACGGGAGGCAGCAGUGGGGAAUAUUGCACAAUGGGCGAAAGCCUGAUGCAGCAACGCCGCGUGAAGGAAGAAGGGUUUCGGCUCGUAAACUUCUAUCAACAGGGACGAAAGAAAUGACGGUACCUGAAUAAGAAGCCCCGGCUAACUACGUGCCAGCAGCCGCGGUAAUACGUAGGGGGCAAGCGUUAUCCGGAAUUACUGGGUGUAAAGGGUGAGUAGGCGGCAUGGUAAGCCAGAUGUGAAAGCCCGGGGCUCAACCCCGGGACUGCAUUUGAAACUGUCAGGCUGGAGUGCAGGAGAGGUAAGUGGAAUUCCUAGUGUAGCGGUGAAAUGCGUAGAUAUUAGGAGGAACACCAGUGGCGAAGGCGGCUUACUGGACUGUAACUGACGUUGAGGCUCGAAAGCGUGGGGAGCAAACAGGAUUAGAUACCCUAGUAAC